rnacentral:lncRNA from 1 species
GGUACCCAGCCUAGGAGAUGGGAACGCCACCUCCCAGGAGGCGUCCGCCGAUAUGGAAGUCCUGUAUGUGGGCAGCUUUCUGGCGUCUCUGCCUUCUUCAGGCUGCUUCUUCUAGUGAGGUCCCCCAGCGUGCGCUCUUGGGAUCUGUGGCCAGUGAUGGUCUUCUAUCAAUGAAAAGAUAAGGCUGCAAAUUAUGGAAUCCUCCAGGCUCCAAAUGAAGAAUUGAAGAUGGGAAUCAGCCAGAGGGCAAUGGAAAGAAGCAGUAUGAUGAGGAAGAAACAUAUGGACAGAGAAGUCCUAUGCUUUGCAGGAUUUUUAGCAUAAAAGUGUUGUACUUUGUCCAAGAUUUUUUCUGUAUCCAUUUCAAUGAUUGUGUCAUUUGGUAUGUUUUUAAUUAAUUAUGUUGAUUGUUUUCCUAAAAUUGAACCAUUCUUGCAUCCCUCAUAUAAAUCUCACUUGGUCAUAAUAAAUGAUUUUUUUGAUAAAUUACUGCA